rnacentral:rRNA from 1 species
GACAAACGCUGGCGGCGUGCCUAACACAUGCAAGUCGAGCGUGAAAGGAGCUUCGGCUCCGAGUAAAGCGGCGAACGGGUGAGUAACACGUGGGUAACCUGCCUCAAGGACUGGGAUAACUCCGGGAAACCGGGGCUAAUACCGGACGAUGUCGUCUGGCGCAAGCCGGCCGACCAAAGGUAGCUUCGGCCUCUGCCUUGAGAUGGGCCCGCGUCCUAUCAGCUUGUUGGUGAGGUAACGGCUCACCAAGGCUACGACGGGUAGCUGGUCUGAGAGGAUGAUCAGCCACACUGGGACUGAGAUACGGCCCAGACUCCUACGGGAGGCAGCAGUGGGGAAUCUUGCGCAAUGGGCGAAAGCCUGACGCAGCAACGCCGCGUGAGCGAAGAAGGCCUCGGUUGUAAGCUCUGUCAGGGGAAGAAGGCACCUGGGUUAAUAGCCCAAGGGCUGACGGUACCCCACGAGGAAGCCACGGCUAACUACGUGCCAGCAGCCGCGGUAAACGUA